UACGUAGGGUGCAGGCGUUAAUCGGAAUUACUGGGCGUAAAGCGUGCGCAGGCGGUGAUGUAAGACAGAUGUGAAAUCCCCGGGCUUAACCUGGGAACUGCAUUUGUGACUGCAUCGCUGGAGUGCGGCAGAGGGGGAUGGAAUUCCGCGUGUAGCAGUGAAAUGCGUAGAUAUGCGGAGGAACACCGAUGGCGAAGGCAAUCCCCUGGGCCUGCACUGACGCUCAUGCACGAAAGCGUGGGGAGCAAACAGG
rnacentral:rRNA from 1 species